rnacentral:rRNA from 1 species
GCAUAUCACUAUGCGGAGGAAAAGAAACUAUCACGGAUUCCCCUAGUAACGGCGAGUGAAGCGGGAAGAGCUCAAAUUUGAAAUCUUAAAGGGUUUCCCUUUACGAAUUGUAGUUUAAAGAAGUGUUUUCUGUUGGAGUUUCGGUAAAAGUUCUUUGGAAUAGGACAUCAUAGAGGGUGAGAAUCCCGUAUUUGACCGUUACUUUCCAGCUGUGUGAUACACUUUCAAAGAGUCGGAUUGUUUGGGAAUGCAGUCCAAAAUGGGUGGUAAAUUUCAUCUAAAGCUAAAUAUUGGCGAGAGACCGAUAGCGAACACGUACCGUGAGGGAAAGAUGAAAAGAACUUUGAAAAGAGAGUUAAACACUACGUGAAAUUGUCAAAAGGGAAGCGUUUGACACCACUGUUGUUUAGUUGAAAAUCACUUUAAUAAUUUUUGAUUUUAAGUAGUGUAUUGACUUUAUCAGCUUGCUGCUUUCUUUUCGAAAAUUAUUGAAUGCACUUUUCAGUUAACAAGUCAACAUCAAUUUCUUUUGUUGUAAAAGGGUAAGAGGAAGGUGGCUUGCGCUUCGGCUCAAGUGUUUAUAGCCUUUUACCUCUGCAAUCGGAGAGAUUGAGGUCUGCAGCGUAGAUCCUUCGGGGUUAGAUACAUUUGUGCUAAGCUAUAGCCUUGUAUAGACAACUUGUUGACUAUGCUCAGUCAUGUAGCUUACUCGCUUAUGCUAUUUACCUACGCUAGGAUGUGAC